UAUUGGACAAUGGGCGAAAGCCUGAUCCAGCAAUGCCGCGUGAGUGAUGAAGGCCUUAGGGUUGUAAAGCUCUUUUACCAGGGAUGAUAAUGACAGUACCUGGAGAAUAAGCUCCGGCUAACUCCGUGCCAGCAGCCGCGGUAAUACGGAGGGAGCUAGCGUUGUUCGGAAUUACUGGGCGUAAAGCGCGCGUAGGCGGCGAUUCAAGUCAGAGGUGAAAGCCCGGGGCUCAACCCCGGAACUGCCUUUGAAACUAGAUUGCUAGAAUCUUGGAGAGGUCAGUGGAAUUCCGAGUGUAGAGGUGAAAUUCGUAGAUAUUCGGAAGAACACCAGGGCGAAGGCGACGACUGACUAGUAUUGACGCUGAGGUGCGAAA
rnacentral:rRNA from 1 species